AUAGCGUAUAUUAAAGUUGUUGCAGUUAAAAAGCUCGUAGUUGAAUUUUAGGCCCGGUUGGACGGUCUGCCUUUGGGUUUGUACUGUCCUGACUGGGCCUUACCUUCUGGUGAGCUGUCGUGUUGUUUACUCAGCGCGGCAGGGAACCAGGACUUUUACUUUGAAAAAAUUAGAGUGUUUAAAGCAGGCAUUCGCUUGAAUACAUUAGCAUGGAAUAAUAGAAUAGGACUUUGGUUCUAUUUUGUUGGUUUCUAGGACCGAAGUAAUGAUUAAUAGGGAUAGUUGGGGGCAUUGGUAUUGAGUCGCUAGAGGUGAAAUUCUUGGAUUGACUCAAGACCAACUAUUG
rnacentral:rRNA from 1 species